CGCACGAGGUUGGUGGCACAAAGCAGAGAGAAGAACCAGCUUCAGGCUGUGC
rnacentral:SRP_RNA from 1 species